rnacentral:misc_RNA from 1 species
GAUGAAGAACGUAGCGAAAUGCGAUAAGUAAUGUGAAUUGCAGAAUUCAGUGAAUCAUCGAAUCUUUGAACGCACAUUGCGCCCGCUAGUAUUCUGGCGGGCAUGCCUGUCUGAGCGUCAUUUCAACCCUCAUGCCCCUAGGGCGUGGUGUUGGGGAUCGGCCAAAGCCCGCGAGGGACGGCCGGCCCCUAAAUCUAGUGGCGGACCCGUCGUGGCCUCCUCUGCGAAGUAGUGAUAUUCCGCAUCGGAGAGCGAUGAGCCCCUGCCGUUAAACCCCCAACUUUCCAAGGUUGACCUCAGAUCAGGUAGGAAUACCCGCUGAACUUAAGCAUAUCAAUAAGCGGAGGA